rnacentral:sRNA from 1 species
CCAAGGAAUGUCAAAAUAUCUUUGCCUUGAGAAAACCCACACCUUUGGAAAGAAAAAGAGAGAGAAUCAGCUUUGAAGCAAAGAGAGAAAGGAAAAAAGGAAGAAAGGAAGAAAGAAAGAAUGGAGAAAGAAGAAAAAGACAAGGAAGGUUUGACCUAGUGGUUCCAAGCUAAGGAAGGUCCUCCAAGAAUUGAAAGAAAUAGAUCCAUGCUUAUGGGUCAAUCUUGGAAUCCAUGGUGAUUUUGAGCUAGAUAAGUUAUGGGAAGCGUAUAAGUAGAGAGGUUGCUAUGGUGGCGUGCCGGAGGAAGUAACAGGUGAUCAGCAAGUAGAAUUAGCUAGAUACGCAUCCGAGUCAAUAGCAAAGUAGUAUCCUGCUAUUGUGAGAUAGUGAUCGGCCUAAUGUGCAAUCAUCGGCACUUAUGGUUCACUGCGGAUAGGUAAAGGCAUCUUAUAGCAUUUCAUUCUGAGUUACUCCGUUGUUAGAGGUUGAGUCAUUUGUAGCAUAAUUUGAUUAUAAAUAGUAUUAAUGUAAAGGUAUGGUUGUAUAUUAAAAACCUUAAUGUACUUCUACAAUUAUGUUGAAUAAAAGUUG